UGGAUGGUGCGGGCCUGGGCUGCAUUAGAAGCAAAGGCUAAUCCAAUUGGCAGGAAGCAUGUCUGUAAGGUCUGGGAAGUGGACAAUGCCCUCAGAUUCUGAUUAUCUCUCCUACCUUGCAUCUGAAUCCAUGGCUUAGCAAUUUUGGAUGCUUCUAGGUCUGAUCCUCUAAAUUUCUCUGUUUGAUCAUUGUACUCUGCUCCGGUUAUGCUAUGAGGGUGGUUGCUGUUGCUCUGCAUAUUUGCUUCAGACGCUGUAGCUGCUCCUGGUUUUGCCUUACCGCUGUCUUGAAGACUCUGCAAUUUUGUCUGUGCCUCUGCCUGCAAUUUUUGCAAAGCCAUUAUGUUGAUUGGGAAGGAGGGCAGUAAAGUCUAUUGGAAAGUCAAUCUACCGCAGAAAAUUUUCAUAGGAAAAAGAUGGGGAGUUCUCUGUUUUUGGGUGACUGGAAGCAGGGGCUUGAGCUGGGAUAAAAUCCACUUGUCACAUAUCCUUUAGAUAUCUUGUGGCUGAGGCUGGCAGUUGAAACUCGAUCCAUAACGAUGUCUGUGGGUUGCACUGAACAUGCUAAGAGAUGGCAUUGCUUCCUUUUCAGUGGGUCUUGGACCUUCUCUUCUUGUAAUUACACUGCAACUUACAUUUUUGUAAACUUUUGCAUUUUCAACUUGUUAACUUAGCAUUUCAGAA